rnacentral:lncRNA from 1 species
AGGCAUCCUGCAAGUGAUGAUAUCAAUUCUCAUUUUAGGUUAACCUUAUAACUCACUUACUUCUUUAACCCAAUCAAGUUGAUUGUAUACACUUAUUAUAUAUAGGGAAAAUGCCAUAAUGCCUAAAUAUUUGAAAACUAAAUAUCAUUCCAAUGAUAAUAAGAUUCUUGACCCCAAUUAAAUGAAAGAGAGACUUAUUUGUGCCCAAAUACACAAAUCUUUAUUAAAUUUAUAAUAAAAUAAUAUUUUUGAGACAUUUUUACCCUUGGUCCUUAUAUAUAUGCUUAGAGAGAAAAAGUGUAAGAGAGAGAGAGAAAAAAAUUUGCCGGUAGCUCACCGGAUCUCCGGACACCGGUUGCCGAACUCUGGUCACCGGACACCGGCCGCGGGACUCCGGUCGUCGGACGCCGGACUCGGUUACUGACCCCCAGUAACUCUGUUACUCCGGCGACCGAUCGCCGGAACUCAGUUUUUGACCCUAGAAACUCAAUUACUAACCCCAGAAAUUCAGUUACUAACCCAAUAAACUCAGUUACUGACCCCCAGUAACUGGGUUACUCUGGCGACCAAUCACCGGAACUCAGUUUCUAACCCCAAAAACUCAUUUAUUGACCCUAAAAAUUCAGUUAUUGACCUAAAAAACUUAGUUACUGACACCUAGUAACUGGGUUACUCCAGCGACCGAUCACCGGAACUCAUUUUCUAACCCUAGAAACUCAGUUACUGACCCUAGAAAUUCAGUUACUGACCCAAAAAACUCAGUUACUAACCCCAGUAACCGAGUUACUGAUCCCCAGUAAUCCUCAGUAACUCAGUUACUGACCCUAGAAACUCAGUUACUGACCCCCAAUAAUCGGUUACUGACCCCCAGUAAUCCCCAGUAACUCAAUUACUGAUCCCCAAUAAUCGACUUAUUGGCUCCAAAUAUUGUAGAAACUCGGUUUCUAACCUUUAAAAACUAUCUUUCUGACUCCAGAAACCCCGUUAGUGACCCCAAAAUGCAUAAAAGCCCACCGAAAAAUAUCAUGCUUCCAUUUCAUCUUCGCCAUUGCCCCACAUUCAAUAUUCAACAUAAUAUAACUACCACAAUAAUGAUUCUUCUCAAUAAUACAAGAAAAAAAAAAGCCAUAGUAACCAAUACAUUCAAUAAGUAAAACACAGAAAUUCAACCAAAAUUCACAAUAACAGAAAAAGCAAAAAAAAAGAGAAAAGUGAAAAACGAGAGAGAGAGAGAGAGAGAGAG